AGUGAACGCUGGCGGUAGGCCUAACACAUGCAAGUCGAACGGCAGCACAGUAAGAGCUUGCUCUUACGGGUGGCGAGUGGCGGACGGGUGAGGAAUACAUCGGAAUCUACUUUUUCGUGGGGGAUAACGUAGGGAAACUUACGCUAAUACCGCAUACGACCUACGGGUGAAAGCAGGGGAUCUUCGGACCUUGCGCGAUUGAAUGAGCCGAUGUCGGAUUAGUUAGUUGGGGGGGUAAAGGCCCACCAAGGCGAGGAUCCGUAGCUGGUCUGAGAGGCUGGUCGGCCACACUGGAACUGAGACACGGUCCAGACUCCUACGGGAGGCAGCAGUGGGGAAUAUUGGACAAUGGGCGCAAGCCUGAUCCAGCCAUACCGCGUGGGUGAAGAAGGCCUUCGGGUUGUAAAGCCGUUUUGUCGGGAAAGAAAGGCAGCAGGUUAAUACCCCGCUGUUCUGACGGUACCCAAAGAAUAAGCACCGGCUAACUUCGUG
rnacentral:rRNA from 1 species